rnacentral:RNase_P_RNA from 1 species
UAAGCAAGUCGUUCUAUCGUUCUCAAAUGUAUUUGAGGAAGGAAAGUCCGGGCAACACAGAGCACCACACUUCUGAAAAGAAGAUGUCUGAAAGGGUAUAGUAGCGGAACAGAAAAUAACCGUCCGCCAGCCGGCGGAUAAGGGUGAAAAGGUGAGGUAAGAGCUCACCGGUGUGCCGGGUGACCGGUACAGCCGUUCGCCUUGUGGGUUGAAAGACCACAUAUACCGGCAAUUGAGGGUUGCUCGCCCGAUGCCGGGGGGUAGGUCGAUCAGAUAAAUGAUAGAAUCUCCGCAGUGCGGUUAACAGAACCUGGCUUACAGACUUGCUGUUUUA